GGCUUGUCUCAAAGAUUAAGCCAUGCAUGUAUAAGUACAAGCCGCAAAUGGUGAAACCGCGAAUAGCUCAUUACAACAGUCGUAGUUUCUUAGAGCUUAAUUCUAUGGAUAACUGUGGUAAUUCUAGAGCUAAUACAUGUCACAAAACCCUGACUUACGAAAGGGUGCAUUUAUUAGAACAAAGCCAAUCAGACUUCGGUCUGUCUCAGGUUGACUCUGAAUAACUUAGCUAAUCGCAUGGUCUUUGUACCGGCGAUGUAUCUUUCAAAUGUCUGCCUUAUCAACUGUUGAUGGUAGAUUAUGCGCCUACCAUGGUUGUAACGGGUAACGGAGAAUCAGGGUUUGAUUCCGGAGAGGGAGCCUGAGAAACAGCUACCACAUCCAAGGAAG
rnacentral:rRNA from 1 species